CCAGGUCUGUUUCUCUGUCUGUUGUCUCUGUAGAAGUUGACCCAGGUCUGUUUCUCUGUCUGUUGUCUCUGUAGAAGUUGACCCAGGUCUGUUUCUCUGUCUGUUGUCUCUGUAGAAGUUGACCCAGGUCUGUUUCUCUGUCUGUUGUCUCUGUAGAAGUUGACCCAGGUCUGUUUCUCUGUCUGUUGUCUCUGUAGAAGUUGACCCAGGUCUGUUUCUCUGUCUGUUGUCUCUGUAGAAUUUGACCCAGGUCUGUUUCUCUGUCUGUUGUGUCUGUAGAAGUUGACCCAGGUCUGUUUCUCUGUCUGUUGUCUCUGUAGAAGUUGACCCAGGUCUGUUUCUCUGUCUGUUGUCUCUGUAGAAGUUGACCCAGGUCUGUUUCUCUGUCUGUUGUGUCUGUAGAAGUUGACCCAGGUCUGUUUCUCUGUCUGUUGUCUCUGUAGAAGUUGACCCAGGUCUGUUUCUCUGUCUGUUGUCUCUGUAGAAGUUGACCCAGGUCUGUUUCUCUGUCUGUUGUCUCUGUAGAAGUUGACCCAGGUCUGUUUCUCUGUCUGUUGUCUCUGUAGAAGUUGACCCAGGUCUGUUUCUCUGUCUGUUGUCUCUGUAGAAGUUGACCCAGGUCUGUUUCUCUGUCUGUUGUCUCUGUAGAAGUUGACCCAGGUCUGUUUCUCUGUCUGUUGUCUCUGUAGAAGUUGACCCAGGUCUGUUUCUCUGUCUGUUGUCUCUGUAGAAGUUGACCCAGGUCUGUUUCUCUGUCUGUUGUCUCUGUCUGUUGUCUCUGUAGAAGUUGACCCAGGUCUGUUUCUCUGUCUGUUGUCUCUGUAGAAGUUGACCCAGGUCUGUUUCUCUGUCUGUUGUCUCUGUAGAAGUUGACCCAGGUCUGUUUCUCUGUCUGUUGUCUCUGUAGAAGUUGACCCAGGUCUGUUUCUCUGUCUGUUGUCUCUGUAGAAGUUGACCCAGGUCUGUUUCUCUGUCUGUUGUCUCUGUAGAAGUUGACCCAGGUCUGUUUCUCUGUCUGUUGUCUCUGUAGAAGUUGACCCAGGUCUGUUUCUCUGUCUG